GCGGAUAUAACUCAAGUGGUAGAGUACCUGCCUUCCAAGCAGGAUGUUGCGAGUUCGAGCCUCGUUGUCCGCUCCA
rnacentral:tRNA from 2 species